CAUAGGUUAAUGAGGCGAACCGGGGGAACUGAAACAUCUAAGUACCCCGAGGAAAAGAAAUCAACCGAGAUUCCCCCAGUAGCGGCGAGCGAACGGGGAGCAGCCCAGAGCCUGAAUCAGUGUGUGUGUUAGUGGAAGCGUCUGGAAAGGCGCGCGAUACAGGGUGACAGCCCCGUACACAAAAAUGCACAUGCUGUGAGCUCGAUGAGUAGGGCGGGACACGUGGUAUCCUGUCUGAAUAUGGGGGGACCAUCCUCCAAGGCUAAAUACUCCUGACUGACCGAUAGUGAACCAGUACCGUGAGGGAAAGGCGAAAAGAACCCCGGCGAGGGGAGUGAAAAAGAACCUGAAACCGUGUACGUACAAGCAGUGGGAGCACGCUUAGGCGUGUGACUGCGUACCUUUUGUAUAAUGGGUCA
rnacentral:rRNA from 1 species